AGUGGUUAAGAAAGGUCAAAGAGGAUAUGAACCAUCAUUCUUAUUAGCUAAGAAGGCUUUGGAAACCAAUAGAUAAGUUAGAAAGUCCUUGAGAGCCUUAAACAUUAAGAUUAUGAAAAUCAUUUGGAGAUUGUUUUAUCGGGUAGCGAUGAACUUCUAGUUAAAGAGCCUUUUGGGGUUGAAUCCGAGCUCAGAACCUAACCAAACUUGAUAUAUGAUAUGCUUGGGAUGUCUUAAGGUUAAAAUGGUCAUUUAUCCCUAAGAAUUACGUGGCUCAAUAGGGUAAAUUGCUUACAUAGUAAAACCUGGCCUGCUGAAAUUACAGCUCAGACCUAUGUUCAAAGAAAGCUGCUUAGCAGCUACUUAAGUGUCGAUCUCUCAAAGACCUUUUUAUGCAUGAAAGCCAACAUCUUAGGCUAACACCUCAAGCAAGAAUAACCCAGAAACUCCAAGAAACCGACCUUGCCCAGAACUCAUUUCCCUCCUCCUAGGGUACCGCUAGAACAACCUAUAAAAGACUGUUAUGGAUUUUCGUCUCUUUUCUCUUAUUUCUUCCUCUUGGACACCCAUUUUUAUUUUACAUAGAACUCUUCUAGACAUCCAUACAAAGUAUUUCAAGCUUUAGUUCCAAUCUUUAGACCUUAAACUCAUAUAGAAAACCUUGCUGAAAGAUCACAUAAGUUGCUGUAAGUUCAACAGUUUACACCUCUUGUAUUUAAGCUUAGUUUUUCAUAUCUAUAAGCUUGUUGAAACUAAUAUUUAGCAUUUUAUACAUUCAGGGGAAGCUGUAGGAGUAGUUAACCAAUUGGAUUAAGGAGUUUCGUGGCUUUAAGCAUCCUUAGUAAAGAGUCAAACAUUGUUGCAGGUUUGGUGUUGUGAGCUCAGUACUUUGAAGUGAAGCAAGAUAAAGAUGUCGUCGUAGCUUAUGGAUUGAGUUUGUAUUUUAGAUAGUCAAUUAAGGAAUAGAUUCUGAUAUAUUUCGUUGUAUACAAUAUUUGGGAAUAUUAGUCGAGAUAUCGGUGUAAUUGAAGUCUUAUAUAAAGGAUUUUGUUUUGUGGGCCAAUAACCCACAGGUUUCA